rnacentral:rRNA from 1 species
AUUGAACGCUGGCGGCAGGCCUAACACAUGCAAGUCGAACGGUAACAGGAAGAAGCUUGCUUCUCUGCUGACGAGUGGCGGACGGGUGAGUAAUGUCUGGGAAACUGCCUGAUGGAGGGGGAUAACUACUGGAAACGGUAGCUAAUACCGCAUAACGUCGCAAGACCAAAGAGGGGGACCUUCGGGCCUCUUGCCAUCGGAUGUGCCCAGAUGGGAUUAGCUAGUAGGUGGGGUAACGGCUCACCUAGGCGACGAUCCCUAGCUGGUCUGAGAGGAUGACCAGCCACACUGGAACUGAGACACGGUCCAGACUCCUACGGGAGGCAGCAGUGGGGAAUAUUGCACAAUGGGCGCAAGCCUGAUGCAGCCAUGCCGCGUGUAUGAAGAAGGCCUUCGGGUUGUAAAGUACUUUCAGCGGGGAGGAAGGGAGUAAAGUUAAUACCUUUACUCAUUGACGUUACCCGCAGAAGAAGCACCGGCUAACUCCGUG